CUAUUUAAAAAGCUCGCAGGCAGUCUCCAUCAUUAGAGAGAAAGAGAGAGAGAGCGAGAGAGAGAGAGAGAGAGAGCCCACUCACAUAAACAUUAAUGCUUACACCCUCAUCAUCUCCAGGCUGAUGGAUGUCGAGGCAGAGCGGAGAAUCGCCUGCAGGUGAACGCCGAGAUGAGACGCCGCAGCUCGUCCUGAAUGCACAAUGAGCAGAGAUGAUGGCUAAUGAACUACGAGGGGAACACCUGCCUGAUCCAUCCUGAUGCCCUACAUCUGCUUGGAGUUCUCAUCACUUAUAAACCAUGAAGAUUAUCUUUGGACGGCAGCUGCCACAAACAGUUUUGCACUCAAGUCUCCAUCAGGGGGGUGCCUGUUCUCAAAGGACAGCCGAAGCAGCAGACUGAGACGGCCUGCUGUCAGAAAGAGAGGAAAAGAAGGAGAGAUGUGGAGAAGAGAGUGACUGACAGAGCCAGUCAGGGGUAGCCGAUUGAAUGACGGCGUAUAGACCUUCCUCAUCCUUUUAUAACUUGUGUGUUUAUGGUUGUGUGUGUGUG
ensembl:lncRNA